rfam:Treponema sp. CETP13 contig427, whole genome shotgun sequence.
AGGCCAGUAACUCUAAUGGUAGAGUGUCGGUCUCCAAAACCGAAUGUUGCGAGUUCGAGUCUUGCCUGGCCUG